GGUUGAAGGUGGGGUAAUACCUACUGGAGGACCGAACAAGUGGGUGUUAAAAAACCCUUUGAUGAACUGUGGAUAGCGGUGAAAUUCCAAUCGAACUCGGAGAUAGCUGGUUCUAUCCGAAAUACAUUUAGGUGUAGCCUUGCAAUUAGCUUACUGGAGGUAGAGCACUAUUUGGUCUAGGGGCCCUUCAAGGGUUACCAAAAUCAGAUAAACUCCGAAUGCCAGCUAAGUAUGUGCAGGAGUCAGACGGUGAGUGAUAAGAUCCAUCGUCGAAAGGGGAACAGCCCAGAUCACCAGUUAAGGUCCCUAAAUAUAUGCUAAGUGGAAAACGUUGUGAAGGUGCAUAGACAACUAGGAGGUUGGCUCAGAAGCAGCCACCCUUUAAAGAGUGCGUAAUAGCUCACUAGUCGAGUGCUCUUGCGCGGAUAAUGUACCGGGGCUAAGCAUAUUACCGAAACUGUGGAUGCGUAAGCAUGGUAGGAUAGCGUAAUUAACGCGAUGAAGGAUGACCGUAAGGACAUGUUGGAGCGUUAACUAGUGAGAAUUCCGGUAUGAGUAGCGAAAGAUAGGUGAGAAUCCUAUCCACCGAAUGAGUAAGGUUUCCCCCGGAAGGCUCGUCCGCGGGGGGUUAGUCGGGACCYAAGGCGAGGCUGAAAAGCGUAGUCGAUGGACAACAGGUUGAUAUUCCUGUACCGAUAUUUAAUUGCCGAAGGAAGGACGCAGAAGGAU
rnacentral:rRNA from 1 species